UGUAAAUCUUCUAUCACCACCAUAAUUUUUCGCAUCAAUGAAGAAGAAGCUAUGAGAGAAGAGAAACGAUUGAAGCUGCCCAAGGGAAUCCCUUGUGCUUUCCCACGGAGUAUACCUUUCACUCGUUUCAACUUUUUAACCCCAAAAUUUUGUCAAGAUUGUAGCCACCUCUGAGUUCUGGGCUGCUCAGGAGGAAACUGUCAGGCCCUAGUGAUUUUGUACCGCUAAUUUGGGACACCGCUGUCUAUACUUCCUCCGUCACCGCCGGAGUCAAAGCUUCAUUAUCCUGUAUUGUUACCCUGGGAUCAAUAGCUCCUCCAGUUAUAUGGGCCAUAUUAAUAGGUCGGCUGCUAGUAGAAAAUUCUUGAAAAUAAGAGAUAACAGUGCUCAAGGGUGGGUCACACACAGUACUAAUUAACUUUAUGUUCGGGCAAUCAAUAGCCACAUGAGAUCAUUGCUAAUCAUUGUUAAAAAAUUUCUGUAUCCAUAACUACUCAAAUCGAAUCGACAGUCGUGUUUAUUUUACAUAGAUCACCUUGUCUGCAGCAACCCAAUAUAUGUUUUAUGUAAAUUUCGGAUGAGCUGAAGAAAUUUAUUUGUUAUAUUUGUUAUAAAAAAAAUAAAAAAAAAUAGAAAUAAGUGCACAUAGUUUCAAACUCCAACAGUUCAAAUGUAUAUAACAUAAUUCCAUUCCAAUUUCUUUCAAAAACACUGAACUUUUCGAUAGUAAAAUGAAGGACAUGAAGUUUGAAAGUGCAAACAACAGUAAAAGACCAAAUACAUACUUAACCACUGAUUAUAUGUCUAGGCGAAACAGAGCUGGGAAUAUGGACAUGUGCAGCAAUCAAGUGUUGUAUCCCAUCAAAUGCAGCGUCCUCAAAAACCAUUCCCAGAAGCAUAAGCAAUCAAUUUCCCACGAAUAAGCAACAAGACUUGCCCAUCCC
rnacentral:lncRNA from 1 species